rfam:Triticum aestivum genome assembly, contig: Triticum_aestivum_CS42_TGACv1_scaffold_526747_6DL
GUAAUACUCCCUCCGUCCGGAAAUACUUGUCAUUGAAAUGGAUGUAUCUAGAUGUAUAUGAAUAAAAAUGGAUGUAUUUGGAACUAAAAUACAUCUAGAUACAUCCAUUUCAAUGACAAGUAUUUCCGGACGGAGGGAGUAGUUG